UACGAAGGGGGCUAGCGUUGCUCGGAAUUACUGGGCGUAAAGCGCACGUAGGCGGCUUUCUAAGUCGGGGGUGAAAUCCUGGAGCCCAACUCCAGAACUGCCUUCGAUACUGGAAAGCUCGAGUCCGGGAGAGGUGAGUGGAACUGCGAGUGUAGAGGUGAAAUUCGUAGAUAUUCGCAAGAACACCAGUGGCGAAGGCGGCUCACUGGCCCGGUACUGACGCUGAGGUGCGAAAGCGUGGGGAGCAAACAGG
rnacentral:rRNA from 1 species